rnacentral:ncRNA from 1 species
CGUUUUUGGUUUGAUACGUUUGUAUCAUUCAAGGGAAUCCGAUGAAAUUUCGGAGCUAUACCCGUAGCUGUAGUCCUCGUUCAAAAGCUAUACAUUUAAGUCACUGUUGUUUAAACAAUGGGAAGGCGUAUAGUUGAGGUAGCCAGAAGACCUACCAUAAACAUU